GUGAUGGCUACCGCCUACUCGAUUGCUUGCAGGUCUCCAAAACCAUCUUCUUUUAAGUUCCACUCUCCAGCCUAGUGAGAAACCAUAAGACUCCAAGAGGACGGCGAAGGUUCUAGCCCACUCUCCAGCCCAGUGAGAGACCCUAAGACUCCAAGAGGACGGCGAAGGUUCGUUAAAAGCAACACGAAGGGUUCUGCUGCAUCAAGAAGGAAGUUGCCUCAGCUUAGUGUUUUUUCCUGGAUGCAAUGGUGCCAUGGAGGAUGGAAGCACGGCUGGCAGAGACCGUGUGGGUGGUGCUCCUCGGCUGGCUCUCCUCCUGCCUCACAGUCGCCGGCGAGGUAGCCCGUGCCAUUAGAAGCAACGACCUCUCCAUCUAGGCCACCUUUGGCAUCGCCAGCAACAAAGAAACAAGUCAA